CUGAGACCCCAUCUUGCUCUGUCCUCUGCUCCUUCUGGCUUCCCUCUCGCCCCUUUCCCUGAAAGCAUUCCUUCAACGAACUACAUGCCCUUGAUCACCUUCUCAGGCUCUGCUUCUGGGGCAGGCAACCUAAGACUAGUGGAGAUACAGCCAGACCUUAUAAGGAGCCUGGACUCAAGCUGUCUGUGAAAUUUUUCAUUCAUCUUUCUCUUUUAAAUCCAUUCAUUUGUUAAAAAAUACGUUGAAGCAUGUUUCAUACACUGUGGCACACGAUAAACCAGAUGGGCUCAGCCCAGGCCCCAGAGAACUUAUUAACCUGGGGAAAGGCAGAUAUUAAACAGGCAUAUGCAUGCAUUUGGGAACAUCAUGGCCAGCCUCUCGGGAGGGUCUCCUGCCCACAGGGGCUAUGACUGCCUCCUAGAAGAAUCCAGCCUGGAUUUUAACCACCAGCCCAUAAAAUCCUAAACAGCUUGGGACCAGUCCAUGCUGUUAUGAGCUGAGUCCCUCUGCAGUUCUCACAAUUGAAGGUGAACAUUCCAGCCAUCCCUGGGCUCUUAAGCAGAGGCCAGCAUCCUGCCGAAGAAUUCUUUUUGCCCUGAGACCGAGGCCACAUUGUAGGAUGGAGACUUUCCAGUGUCCAUGGGCUCUCCUGCUCCAGCUGGCGCUAGUCAUCUCUGAAGUCUCAGUUUCCCACCUGGAGGAGUUGGAGGAGAACUGUGGGCUGAUGCUUGUUCAAGUCAUUCUGAGGGGUGCAGUCUAAGGAAGAGCUCUCUGAACGGCAACUAGAUUCCAGAAUCCCCUUUUAGGGCUUGUCGAUGGAGGAGAUAAUUUGGGGUCAGGCCCAGCUUCAUGUGUGAGCCCUGUGAAGUUACACAGGGCUCACCACUUAGAAGGGCCUAUGCUUGGUUUAAUGCGCUACUGUUGCUAUCUUGAAAUUAUUAAUAAUUUUAAACAAGGAUGUCUGUCUUUUCACCUUGCCCUGGGCCCCACAAAUUAUGUAACUGGUCCCGUUUGGGGUCCCAUUUGGGCUCCCACAUUUAUGAAGAGUUGUUCAGGGUUGCCUGCCAAGAGGCAGAGGAAAAGGUGAAAUUUCCCCGGGAUACCUUUUACCCCAAGACGCUGGUGAAACUUGUAGGCUCCAUA
rnacentral:lncRNA from 1 species